rnacentral:rRNA from 1 species
UACAGAGGGUGCGAGCGUUAAUCGGAAUUACUGGGCGUAAAGCGCACGUAGGUGGCGACGUAAGUCGGGUGUGAAAGCCCCGGGCUCAACCUGGGAAUUGCAUUCGAGACUGCAUUGCUGGAGUACGGAAGAGGAGGGCGGAAUUCCCGGUGUAGCGGUGAAAUGCGUAGAUAUCGGGAGGAACAUCAGUGGCGAAGGCGGCCCUCUGGUCCAGUACUGACGCUGAGAAGCGAAAGCAUGGGGAGCGAACAGG